GAUUAUGGCUCAGGAUGAACGCUAGCUACAGGCUUAACACAUGCAAGUCGAGGGGCAGCAUGAGAGUAGCUUGCUACUUUGAUGGCGACCGGCGAAUGGGUGAGUAACGCGUAUCCAACCUGCCGCACACCCGGGAAUAGCCCUUGGAAAUGAGGAUUAAGUCCCGAUAUGCAUGGUAGUCGCAUGACUACCGUGUGAACCCAGGUAUGCGAUGGGGAUGCGUCCGAUUAGCUUGCCGGCGGGGUAACGGCCCACCGGGGCAUCGAUCGGUAGGGGUUCUGAGAGGAAGGCCCCCCACACUGGUACUGAGACACGGACCAGACUCCUACGGGAGGCAGCAGUGAGGAAUAUUGGUCAAUGGACGAGAGUCUGAACCAGCCAAGUAGCGUUGCAGGAUGACGGCCCUAUGGGUUGUAAACUGUCGUUUUUCCGGGGAAUAACAUGUGCCACGUGUGGCACUUUGCAUGUACCCGGUGAAUAAGGACCGGCUAAUUCCGUGCCAGCCGCCGC
rnacentral:rRNA from 1 species